AACCUGCCUUUGAGAAGGGGAUAACUGUCCGAAAGGAUAGCUAAUACCCUAUAUUGCCUUUUGUCACUAAGGCAAAAAGUGAAAGCGAGGCUGUCAAAGGCUUCGGCUCAAAGAGGGGUUCGCGUCCUAUCAGGUAGUUGGUGGGGUAAUGGCCUACCAAGCCAAUGACGGGUAGCUGGUCUUAGAGGAUGAUCAGCCACAGUGGGACUGAGACACGGCCCGCACCCCUACGGGGGGCAGCAGUGGGGAAUCGUGGGCAAUGGGCGCAAGCCUGACCCCGCAAUGCCGCGUGAGGGAAGAAGCCCUUCGGGGUGUAAACCUCUGUCAGAUGGGAAGAUGGGACUAGGGGCUAAUACCUCCUGGUCUUGCCUGUACCAUCAGAGGAAGGGACGGCUA
rnacentral:rRNA from 1 species